rnacentral:tRNA from 4 species
UGGGGUGGCUAAUGGGGCUCGAACCCACGACAACUGGAAUCACAAUCCAGGGCUCUACCAACUGAGCUAUAGCCAC